AUGUAGAUAAAAAACAAAUUAGUAAAAAAAAUAAAAAUAACUAAAUUUUUACCUUUUUUAUAUUUGCAUACUAUGUAUAUAUUAUUAAUGUUGUAAAUACAAAUAUGUAUAUAUCUAGAAAGGGUGGUCCUAAAGAGGGAGGCAUUCUUCAGGGGUCUCAAGAAGGUCACAAAUACACAAAUGUGUGUGUUUACCGCAGGAUGCGGCCGAUGCUGGUCUCGGCCAGGAGCAGGAAGUUCUCGUCGGGCGAGAGCGCGAUGCCGUUGGGCAUGUAGAGAGAAUCCAGCAGGACGCUCACUUCUCCAGUGUGAGGAUCGUAGGAGAGAAGACGGCCGAGGUUGUUCAGCUCGAUGACCUGGGAAGAAGACAUGACAUGCGACUGGAAGAGUCGGUGAAAUAAACCAUCCCCGUCUGGGAGGAGAUGUCCAGGCCGUUUAGGAAGGCGAAAGGAACACCAGCAGCGCCUAAAAACAAACAAAACCUUCUUUUUCACCACCAUUUCCAGGAUAUUUCACAACUUUUUUACUGAGAUACAAAAAAAAGUGACACCCACCCUCUGAGUUGGACACCAACACCGUCUUCUCUCCGGUAUGCGGGUCAACGCUGUGCAGUCCCAAGUAGGAGUCGGCCACGAUGAGGUUACCAUGGCGAUCCAGACGCAAGCCGUGAGGACGACCACACACCGGCUCGUAGGCCGUGCUGCUUCCUGAUCGCACACAUAUGACAUCUGUAACGCCCCCUUCGGGUUUUACACAGUCUUUUUGUACUUAUACUUUGUCUUUGUGUACUUACACUUUGUCUUUGUGUACAGACACUUUGUCCUUACGUACAUACACUCUGUGUUUGUGUACUUA